rnacentral:misc_RNA from 1 species
CGCAAGAGGAGGAAGAUAUGUGAAUGGUUAUUAGUUGUGUAACUCCAGUUUCUGAUCUAUGGAAAGUGGUGAAACGUCUUCACGAAAUACAAUUUCAUUCGUUUUCCUCCCUUGCAUUGGCACGCUGUGAGCCGUGUCGACUUCCAAAUGAGGUUUGUGCAUCUUGAUUAUUAUACGUUUAAUGAUAGAUACGGAGGUAUCUUUGUCAGAGGUUCCCAUGCGGACUGUCUCGGUGUGUAUCUUGUUAUGAUUUCUUUUAUUUAGUUCAUCCUGCUUCUUUCGUGUUUUAUUCACUGCAUAUGAUAUUUCAGUGCAAGAAGAAGAAGAAUUGUAAAGAAUCCGUAAGUGGCCCUAGAAGACGCAGUCAUCGUGUGAGGUGUUGUCGGCAGGAACGAAGAGUCGAAGUUGUUGAAGAAGUCGUGUGACAUUUGUAUUGUUUCUGGUUAUAUACAACGCUAUUUCACAUAUCUAUGUAUAUAUAUAUAUUAUUAUUAUAUUAUUAUAUAUUAUUAUAUUAAAUCUUCAGUUGGUUUAGUUGAAUGUUCAGUAAUGUAAUUUUCACAAGGUGGUUUUGUAUAUUAGAUGAGUAGUUGUUCGAUAUAAUAAUAUGUGUAUAUAUAUAUAUAUACAUUUCACAAUGUAAUUUUCCAUUAUGUAAAAUAUAUAUAUGCAUAUGUAUAUGUGCC